CUUCACCGACCCCAGCCACAGCGGCCCAUCGGCACGGCCCUGACCGUAAGUGGCCAGCAGCGCCUCAGCCUC
rnacentral:antisense_RNA from 1 species